CGUGUAGGCGGGAAGGUAAGUCAGAUGUGAAAUUCCAGGGCUCAACCCUGGCGCUGCAUCUGAAACUAUUUUUCUUGAGUGCUGGAGAGGAAAGCGGAAUUCCUAGUGUAGCGGUGAAAUGCGUAGAUAUUAGGAGGAACACCAGUGGCGAAGGCGGCUUUCUGGACAGUAACUGACGCUGAGGCGCGAAAGCGUGGGGAGCAAACAGGAUUAGAUACCCUGGUAGUCCACGCUGUAAACGAUGGAUACUAGGUGUAGGAGGUAUCGACCCCUUCUGUGCCGGAGUUAACACAAUAAGUAUCCCACCUGGGGAGUACGGCCGCAAGGUCGAA
rnacentral:rRNA from 1 species